rnacentral:rRNA from 1 species
AUGAGUCGUUGUGAUGGCAUCAACAUCCCCGAUGGCAAGUUCUACCCUGGAGAUGCUGGCUAUGCAUGUCGGCCACGUGUUCUUCCACCCUUCAGGAAAACCAGGUACCAUCUGAACGAGUUUGCUGGUAGGAACUAUCCUAGGACUCCUUAGGAACUGUUCAAUCUCAGACACUCCAGCCUUAGAGUUGAGAUGGCCUUUGGAGCUCUGAAGAACUGGUUUAAGAUCCAGGAUCAGAAGCCAUUCCACCCUUACCCUACCCAGGUGAAGCUUGUUCUUGCAUGUUGCAUCAUUCACAACUGGAUCCUGCAAUGGGUGGUUGAUGAAUUUCUGCCGGAGGAGGAAGAUGUCACUCCUGAUGAGGUGCUCAGCUCCGGCCAUGGUGUGAAGGCGUUCGACAACGAAGCGUGGAAGAACAAAAGGUUGGAGUGGGCUCAGGCAAUAUGGGAUAACAGACGUCAGGCAAGGAUCUGA